UACGGAGGGUGCAAGCGUUAUCCGGAUUCACUGGGUUUAAAGGGUGCGUAGGCGGGCAGGUAAGUCAGGGGUGAAAUCCUCGAGCUUAACUCGGAAACUGCCUUUGAUACUAUCUGUCUUGAAUAUGGUGGAGGUAAGCGGAAUAUGUCAUGUAGCGGUGAAAUGCUUAGAUAUGACAUAGAACACCUAUUGCGAAGGCAGCUUACUACGCCUAUAUUGACGCUGAGGCACGAAAGCGUGGGGAGUCAACAGAUGA
rnacentral:rRNA from 1 species